AGUUAUUUAGCUUAUAAUUAAAAAGCAUAUAUUUUGAAAAUAUAAGAAAGAGUAAUUUAAUAACUU
rnacentral:tRNA from 1 species